UCAAGUUUACCUGGGACUUAUCUUUUUUCUUUUUUGAAGGAAGAUUUGCAUCUGGCCUAAAAUACUUGGGGCUACAGCCCCAAGUGAUCAGGCCUAACGACGCCCCUGGUUGAGCCUGGAAGUGGGCGACCGCCUUGUGGACGGAGAAGAGUCCGGUGCUGGAUUCCUCCAUCACCUUUUAGCAAGCUUUUGGAGAGGUCUUUGAUCACCCUGCAGUAGGUUGGACCUGUGGGGAUCGACUCUGCAACCUCAAGCUGGGAAACAGUACCACGAUUGACUUCUUGCUUGAUUUCCAAACCCUAGCCGCUGGUUUAGGGGUUUAGGGUGGCCAUCUUCCUCUUUGCAUAUGUUGUACCUUCGCAUCUUAAACUUGGCACUGCAGGCAGAGAUUACAUUCUGUGGUGAGGUAUGGACUUUUGAAGACACUGCUUCAUCCAAGGAUUCAGCUCAGUAGCUGCCCCGAUGCGUCUAAAGUUGGAGUUGGUGCUGUCCUGUCUCAAAAACUGGGAGACUCAGGUCUGACAUACUUGUGGACUUUCUUCUCCAAGAAGCUCAGCCCAGUCGAGCGCAACUAUGAUGUGGGAAACCAGGACCUACUGGCCAUAAAACUUGCCAUGGAGGAGUGGUACCACUAGUUAGAGGAGGCUGAACAUCUGUUCCUGGUGUUAACAGACCAUCACAAUCUAGAGUACCUCCAGACCACCAAAAGGUUGAAUGCCCAACAAGCCCAUUAGGCCCUAUUCUUUACUCAUUUCACUUUUAAAGUGUCCUGUCCUCCAGGGUCAAAGAAUGUCAAUCUCUUGGGACCUGGACCAAUCCCUGCAAGGGGCAAACCUGAACACACCUCCACCUACUGACAUGCAUAUAUCAUUAAGAGCUCAACAGUGACAUAACAGGAUGGUAUGCUAAAGCACCUUCGAAGUUCUGCAUGCAUAGACAGAAAUCUUUGAAAAUGUGCUGUUUGAAUGAUCAUUUUUGGAUGAUAUUCAGGGCUGACAUUAGUAUAGAUUGAGUGAUCUGUGGUAUUCAGAUAAUCCUUGAUCAGGAUCAGAGUGUAAGCUGAUUUUUCCCAACUGGUAACAUUUUUCUGGUUGGAAGAUGAAACAUACUGUGUUGCGCUUUAUCAGAAAUGUAGUUUGUAUGUUCUCCAGUGUUGUGAGGGUUUUCUAUCAGUCUAGAGACAUCCAUCCAUCCAUCCAUCCAUCCAUCCAACUUCUACCUGAUUAUCUCGGUUAGGGUCACAUGGUAAAAGCAAACAUUCUAAAUAGCAUCUUUGUCCAUAGUGUGUCAAUGUAUGUGUUAUACAAUGAAUUGUCAUCCAGGAUAUUUCCCUGUUUCAUGUCCUUGCUGCCCUUGUAUCCUGUGACUGGCUAAGCAAUUGGGAUAUGGAUGGUAUAAUCCAAAAUGUAGUAUACUAUUAUAUUAUAUUAUAAAAACAAUAUAACCAG